GACGAACGCUGGCGGCGUGCUUAACACAUGCAAGUCGAACGGAAAGGCCCUGCUUUUGUGGGGUGCUCGAGUGGCGAACGGGUGAGUAACACGUGAGUAACCUGCCCUUGACUUUGGGAUAACUUCAGGAAACUGGGGCUAAUACCGGAUAGGAGCUCCUGCUGCAUGGUGGGGGUUGGAAAGUUUCGGCGGUUGGGGAUGGACUCGCGGCUUAUCAGCUUGUUGGUGGGGUAGUGGCUUACCAAGGCUUUGACGGGUAGCCGGCCUGAGAGGGUGACCGGCCACAUUGGGACUGUGAUACGGCCCAGACUCCUACGGGAGGCAGCAGUGGGGAAUAUUGCACAAUGGGCGGAAGCCUGAUGCAGCAACGCCGCGUGCGGGAUGACGGCCUUCGGGUUGUAAACCGCUUUCGCCUGUGACGAAGCGUGAGUGACGGUAAUGGGUAAAGAAGCACCGGCUGACUACGUG
rnacentral:rRNA from 1 species